AGAAAUAACAAUGAUACUAAAUAUGGAAUUAUGUGUUCUUUGCGCAUUUUAUUUUUAUUUAGGCUUGGAGCAAGUAGACGACGAGUGAUCCGACGCAGUUUCAACCGGAGCCGGAGCCCCCAAUUCGCGGCAUGAAUUUAAAAAUGAUUCUUUUCCAUAGUGGUUAUAUUUUUCUUUUAUUUUAUUGCCCCUUCUCGUGAAGCACUGCUCACAGCUCGUCGUCUUCUUUCUCAACUUGAAGCAACCGUCGUGCCUGGAUCCAUCUUCUACAAAAUGCUUCUGAGAAGCUCUUCGACUCCUAUUAUUGCCACUUUUCUCUACCCCUUCUCAGAGAAUCCUAACAGAGACCAUGACAAUAUCAACAGCAACAGCAGCAACUGCUCCAAACAGCCAGCACUCCAUGACCACAAUGCCUCCAAACUCUCAUCCUCUCAGGGCAGGCACCACCGCCGACUGAGCUCUUUUUCCGGCAACUCUUCUCCGGCAUCUGGGUUACCCGAAUCUGAUCGCAAACCCAGUAGUUUUCGCCUUCGGAGAGCGCAAUCUGACGGCAAUUUGGAGCAAUUGAUCUCUAGUUCUUGCGAUAUAGACGAUUUUCGUGAUUCGAAUGCUUGGACGAGGUCUUCGCAGAGACAUAAAUCGAUGUUGAAUUCGGUUCCAUCUUUUUCGAUAUUUAAUAAUUUAACAGAUGGGUUUGUUGAUGGAAAAGAGGAAGAAGAGCUGGAAGAUCUAGGCGGAGAGGGAUUGAGGAAAGGCGAUGGGUCUCUGCCUAGGACUGUUACUAUUGGAGAAAGUAUAGAGGCUGUAGGUAGUGGGGAUUUCAGUUUUUUGAAGAACAGUAUGGGUUUAAUCAAGGAAGAAGAGGAAGAAGAGAAGGAUGAAGGUUUGAAUGAGUUUCAGAAGUUGGGUACUAGAGAAGGAGGGAAACCAGCUAGCCCUCCCCUGUAUCUGGCUACAGGGCUUGGGAUUGAUGUCACUGGUUUUGGUAGUGGCGUUGAUUUUACUGGGGCAAAUUUCGAUAAUGGCGGCAAUGUUGAGGAGUAUUACAAGAAAAUGGUUGAUCAGUUUCCAUGCCACCCGUUGUUUCUAAGAAAUUAUGCUCAGGUUUUGCAAUCCAAGGGCGAUCUUAGUGGAGCUGAGGAGUACUACUUCCGUGCUACACUGGCAGAACCAGGAGAUGGUGAAAUCUUGAUGCAAUAUGCUAAUUUGGUGUGGGAGCUCCAUCAUGAUCAGGACAGAGCCUCAAGUUACUUCAAACGUGCAGCUGAAGCUGCUCCACAGGAUAGCCAUGUUCUUGCUGCAUAUGCCAGAUUCCUAUGGGAGACAGAGGACAACGAAGAAGAUAGUGCACAACAAGAUCAAAUUCAGUCACAGGCUGAAGAGGAUGGUCUAAAAGAAGUUCCACAUCUGAAUUCAAGAGAGGAGGAAGAGGAACCAGUUUUCCCAUCCUCACAACUGGCAGGAGGGCUAGGGAUUGACAAAAUUGAAUUUCAUAACGCCAUUGGCGGUGUUGACUUUUCUGCAGCUGUACCUGGUGAGGGUGGCAAUGUCGAAGAGUAUUAUAAGAGAAUGGUUGAGGAAAGUCCUUGCAACCCUUUAUUUCUGAGAAAUUAUGCUCAGUUCUUGAGUCAGUCCAAGGGAGACUUUCAACAGGCUGAGGAAUGCUACUUACGUGCCAUGCUAACCAUUCCUGAAGAUGGUGAAAUUAUGUCCCAAUAUGCAAGAUUGGUUUGGGAUCUUCAUCAUGAUCGAGACAAAGCCUUGUGUUACUUUGAGCGUGCAGUUCAAGCAGCUCCACAAAAUAGCCAUGUUCUUGCAGCAUAUGCCAGUUUUCUCUGGGAGACACAGGACGAGGAAGAAGAUGAUGCCCAGAAAAUGACUUCCAGAUGCCUCUUUUCCAUGGAGGAUCCAUAGCUUCUGCAAACUCUUAAACAUAACCUGCAAUGCAGAGUUUCAUUCAGUAUUGCUGUGUCAUCAUAGGUGCCAAAUAUUUAUGCAUCACCACCAAAUUUGGAUAAGCAGUUUAAGCAAAUGCACGGAUCAAAGCUCGCAGUCUUUUGGGUCAAGGGACUCUGGCUCCAGCUCUUCUGAAAUGCAAUGAUGCAUUGUUUCCAGUUCAAUGAUAUGGUACCGAUUUAGAUGAGAUAAUUUUUCCUAUUGAUUGGCAAGAACUUAAUGGGAAGCAAGGCAAGGGGAUCAUAGUUCAUAGAAAGGCAAGAGGUACUUAUUUUGAACAGCUGCCAAAACAAUCACAUUCACAAUCUAAAAUUGCAUGUGAACUUUGAAUCUAUAAGCCAUGUUGGAUUAUUGAAAGCUUGUUCAAAGCAAGCAUGAGGCCUUGAUUGUAUGCAUGAAGUAGAUUAUGUUCCA